GAUGAACGCUGGCGGCGUGCCUAAUACAUGCAAGUCGAGCGAACAGACGAGGAGCUUGCUCCUCUGACGUUAACGGCGGACGGGUGAGUAACACGUGGAUAACCUACCUAUAAGACUGGGAUAACUUCGGGAAACCGGAGCUAAUAACGGAUAAUAUAUUGAACCGCAUGGUUCAAUAGUGAAAGACGGUUUUGCUGUCACUUAUAGAUGUAUCCGCGCCGCAUUAGCUGGGUGGUAAGGUAACGGCUUCCCAAGGCAGCGAUGAGUAGCCGACCGGAGAGGGGGAUGGCCCACACUGGAAGUGAGCCGCGGCCCAGACACCGACGGGAGGCAGAGGUAGGGAAGCUUCGGCGAUGGGCGGAAGCUUGACGGAGCGGCGCCGCGUGAGUGAUGAAGGGCUGCGGACCGGAAGACGCUGUUAGGGGGGAAGAACGAAUUCGGAAGGAACGAUGCAUGUGGUGACGGUACCUGAUGAGAAAGCCACGGCUAACUACGUG
rnacentral:rRNA from 1 species